rnacentral:rRNA from 1 species
UGCGAUAAGCGCCGGUAAGGUGAUAUGAACCGUUAUAACCGGCGAUACCCGAAUGGGGAAACCCAGUGUGAUUCGUCACACUAUCAUUAACUGAAUCCAUAGGUUAAUGAGGCGAACCGGGGGAACUGAAACAUCUAAGUACCCCGAGGAAAAGAAAUCAACCGAGAUUCCCCCAGUAGCGGCGAGCGAACGGGGAGGAGCCCAGAGCCUGAAUCAGCAUGUGUGUUAGUGGAAGCGUCUGGAAAGGCGCGCGAUACAGGGUGACAGCCCCGUACACAAAAGCGCAUGUGCUGUGAGCUCGAUGAGUAGGGCGGGACACGUGGUAUCCUGUCUGAAUAUGGGGGGACCAUCCUCCAAGGCUAAAUACUCCUGACUGACCGAUAGUGAACCAGUACCGUGAGGGAAAGGCGAAAAGAACCCCGGCGAGGGGAGUGAAAAAGAACCUGAAACCGUGUACGUACAAGCAGUGGGAGCACCCUUUUGGGUGUGACUGCGUACCUUUUGUAUAAUGGGUCAGCGACUUAUAUUCUGUAGCAAGGUUAACCGCAUAGGGGAGCCGGAGGGAAACCGAGUCUUAAUUGGGCGUUAAGUUGCAGGGUAUAGACCCGAAACCCGGUGAUCUAGCCAUGGGCAGGUUGAAGGUUGGGUAACACUAACUGGAGGACCGAACCGACUAAUGUUGAAAAAUUAGCGGAUGACCUGUGGCUGGGGGUGAAAGGCCAAUCAAACCGGGAGAUAGCUGGUUCUCCCCGAAAGCUAUUUAGGUAGCGCCUCGUGAAUUCAUCUCCGGGGGUAGAGCACUGUUUCGGCUAGGGGGCCAUCCCGGCUUACCAACCCGAUGCAAACUGCGAAUACCGGAGAAUGUUAUCACGGGAGACACACGGCGGGUGCUAACGUCCGUCGUGAAGAGGGAAACAACCCAGACCGCCAGCUAAGGUCCCAAAGUCAUGGUUAAGUGGGAAACGAUGUGGGAAGGCCCAGACAGCCAGGAUGUUGGCUUAGAAGCAGCCAUCAUUUAAAGAAAGCGUAAUAGCUCACUGGUCGAGUCGGCCUGCGCGGAAGAUGUAACGGGGCUAAACCAUGCACCGAAGCUGCGGCAGCGACGCUUAUGCGUUGUUGGGUAGGGGAGCGUUCUGUAAGCCUGCGAAGGUGGCCUGUGAGGGUUGCUGGAGGUAUCAGAAGUGCGAAUGCUGACAUAAGUAACGAUAAAGCGGGUGAAAAGCCCGCUCGCCGGAAGACCAAGGGUUCCUGUCCAACGUUAAUCGGGGCAGGGUGAGUCGACCCCUAAGGCGAGGCCGAAAGGCGUAGUCGAUGGGAAACGGGUUAAUAUUCCCGUACUUGGUGUUACUGCGAAGGGGGGACGGAGAAGGCUAUGUUGGCCGGGCGACGGUUGUCCCGGUUUAAGCGUGUAGGUGUGUGUUCCAGGUAAAUCCGGUUCACUUUAACACUGAGGCGUGACGACGAGGCACUACGGUGCUGAAGCAACAAAUGCCCUGCUUCCAGGAAAAGCCUCUAAGCAUCAGGUAACAUCAAAUCGUACCCCAAACCGACACAGGUGGUCAGGUAGAGAAUACCAAGGCGCUUGAGAGAACUCGGGUGAAGGAACUAGGCAAAAUGGUGCCGUAACUUCGGGAGAAGGCACGCUGACAC